GGAACGGGAACGGAGGCAAAGAAUGCCAUUUCCCGGAUCAGCCAUAAGGAGGUGCUGUGGUAGCUCAAAACCUUGGCUGGGUGCUCCUGUGGACGUAGGUCUGCUUUUGUGAAGCGUCUGCUGUCUGAAGACCCGCCCCAGUCGGUUGGUAGGAAGGGGCCAGGAUCCCAGGCCGUGGUUGUCCUAGCAACUCUGGCUGUGAGUAGCAGCAACCUGGCUGCAAGAUGGGGGCAGGGACAUUCAACAGCUCCUCGGGAAGUCGGGUGUACCUUUCUCCUCGACCCGCUCAAGGGCUGGCCAAUCCCUGGGAUCCUCCUGCUCGGCCUCUCGGGACUCCUGGGGAUUCCCGCUCGACUGCAAGGAAGAUGCCACCCUAGCAAGAAGUUUCUGGCCAUACCUCGGAGAAAGGCCACUGAGAUCGCGGGGGCUUGCUUUCCAUGUCCCGCGCUCUUUUGCUUCUCAAGUUCCCUUGCUGGGAAGCAGGCGUAGAAGCACACCGGGACAAGCCUGGCGUGAGACUUCGCCUCUUAGAUCGGCUCAUCCGUUUGGGACUAAGCUCACCAGUCUGGGCUCGCCUCUCUGCCCGUCUGCCCGCCUGCCCAGUCUCCGUGUCGGCGCCGGCGAGGAGGGAACGCGCCGCUGGGAGUGCGUCUGCGGCCGGCACAGCCUACUGCUGCGCUUCGCUCACCUGUGUGGGGAGUCCGUCGGCCCAGUAGGUCAGCGGCCUCCGCCUUCCCGUGGUGAACUUCUCCAGCCAGGCUGCUUGCGCCAGCUGCUGCCCGCUGGGUAGCCUGCCGGGGACUUGAUAAGCCCCAUUCCCUCCCACUCGCUCCCGCCUCCCAUCCCAGCCCUUUCUCUUCACUUCCUGCUGCCCCUCCGAGAGGAAAAGGCCUAGAACAGGCGCCGGGAGAUCUCCUUGACCUGUUUCCUUUCGGUGUGCCCUGUCGGCUGGCUGUCUUUCCCACCCUUCAUUUGAAAAACAAUUGUCCCCACCAGCUGUGCCAGGUGAUAGGAAGACUUUGGGACUGGGCUCAGGUGUCAGCUUCCCCACGCCCACAAUUCCCUUAACACUGGGGAACCUCUUCCCCCUAACCCUCCCUUGGGAUUGGGGCCCAGCCUCAAGUCCAGUGGGGUGAGAAGGGGACCCAGGUGGAGGACUUUUGGGGAGUCCAAUUACUUGGGAGUGUUCGGGUUGAUGGUCUCCUAUAGCAAGUGCCAAAGGGAACCACCUUGGCAGGGGGACGGAAGUUUUUUUGGGGGGGAGGGCUUUCAAGAGAUGAGUGAAAGCACCCCAAGUGUGAUAAUACAAUGUGCUAAUAGG